rnacentral:rRNA from 1 species
UACGGAGGGUGCAAGCGUUGUCCGGAAUCACUGGGCGUAAAGGGCGCGUAGGCGGCUCAUGAAGGCUGUGGUGAAAGUCGGGGGCUCAACCCUCGGAUGGCCGGUGGAUACUGUCGGGCUGAGUACGGAGAGGCGAGUGGAAUUCCGUGGUGUAGCGGUGAAAUGCGCAGAUAUCAGGAGGAACACCAAUUGCGAAGGCAGCUGCGUGGGACGUCACUGACGCUGAGACGCGAAAGCGUGGGGAGCAAACAGG